rnacentral:rRNA from 1 species
CCGACGGGUGAGUAACACGUAUGCAAUCCACCUGUAACAGGGGGAGUAACCCGGAGAAAUCCGGACUAAUACCCCAUAAUAUGGGCGCUCCGCAUGGAGAGUCCAUUAAAGAGAGCAAUCUUGGUUACAGACGAGCAUGCGCUCCAUUAGCCAGUUGGCGGGGUAACGGCCCACCAAGGCGACGAUGGAUAGGGGUUCUGAGAGGAAGGUCCCCCACAUUGGAACUGAGACACGGUCCAA